AUUGAACGCUGGCGGCAUGCCUUACACAUGCAAGUCGAACGGCAGCACGGGGGCAACCCUGGUGGCGAGUGGCGAACGGGUGAGUAAUACAUCGGAAUGUACCCAGUAGUGGGGGAUAACUAGUCGAAAGAUUAGCUAAUACCGCAUACGCACUAUGGUGGAAAGCGGGGGAUCGCAAGACCUCGCGCUAUUGGAGCAGCCGAUGUCCGAUUAGGUAGUUGGUGGGGUAAAGGCCUACCAAGCCUGCGAUCGGUAACUGGUCUGAGAGGACGACCAGUCACACUGGGACUGAGACACGGCCCAGACUCCUACGGGAGGCAGCAGUGGGGAAUUUUGGACAAUGGGGGAAACCCUGAUCCAGCAAUGCCGCGUGUGUGACGAAGGCCU
rnacentral:rRNA from 1 species